GGCAGUGCUCAAGUCCAGACAAUAGUUGACGCAUGAAACAUUUAACCUGUGGCUCUGUGAACUUUACUCCUGGGUUAGCAGCAAGUCCAGCUAGAUCAUGCUCCAUGUACUCAAAUACNCAGGUACAAGCUACAUGACAUCCUGGAAGUAACUAAACCCUCCAACUUUACAACAUUCAGAUGAUCCAAUCUCCGUAGAAUGAGGAUCUCUCUAGCCAUGAACUUCACGCUUUCAGAUUCCAAAUUAUCAAAUCGGACCUUCUUUAGGGCAACAAUUUUACCCGUUAAUAGAUCUCUAGCUUUGUACACAUUGCUAUAUGUUCCAGAUCCAAUCUUAUCUAUCUUCUCAAAUGUGUCUGCCUGCCGGGGAAUCCAUCCAUUGAGUGCCUCCCCACAGACUGCUGAUAGCCACAGUGGCCAUCCAGCUGCCACCUGCUCACCCUGCAAAUGCUUGGGUGGAUUACUCAACCUAGGGUUUGGCCUAGACCUUCUUCUCUCCCCUCUAGGUUUUUGAUCCCUCUCCACUUUCUCCUCCUUCUGAGUCUCAUUUUGAAUCUCAACAAUACUACUAGUGUCAGUCUUUGUCACUGAAACAAUGUCUAA
rnacentral:misc_RNA from 1 species